CACGCUGUAAACGAUGAAUGCUAGGUGUGGGAGGUAUCGACCCCUUCCGUGCCGCAGUUAACACAAUAAGCAUUCCGCCUGGGGAGUACGGCCGCAAGGUUGAAACUCAAAGGAAUUGACGGGGGCCCGCACAAGCAGCGGAGCAUGUUGUUUAAUUCGACGCAACGCGAAGAACCUUACCAGGUCUUGACAUCCAUGGAAUCCGGCGGAAAAGCCGGAGUGCCUUUCGGGGAGCCAUGAGACAGGUGG
rnacentral:rRNA from 1 species